rnacentral:rRNA from 1 species
UUUUAUGGAGAGUUUGAUCCUGGCUCAGGAUGAACGCUGGCGGCGUGCCUAAUACAUGCAAGUCGAGCGAACGGAUGAGAAGCUUGCUUCUCUGAUGUUAGCGGCGGACGGGUGAGUAACACGUGGAUAACCUACCUAUAAGACUGGGAUAACUUCGGGAAACCGGAGCUAAUACCGGAUAAUAUUUUGAACCGCAUGGUUCAAAAGUGAAAGACGGUCUUGCUGUCACUUAUAGAUGGAUCCGCGCUGCAUUAGCUAGUUGGUAAGGUAACGGCUUACCAAGGCAACGAUGCAUAGCCGACCUGAGAGGGUGAUCGGCCACACUGGAACUGAGACACGGUCCAGACUCCUACGGGAGGCAGCAGUAGGGAAUCUUCCGCAAUGGGCGAAAGCCUGACGGAGCAACGCCGCGUGAGUGAUGAAGGUCUUCGGAUCGUAAAACUCUGUUAUUAGGGAAGAACAUAUGUGUAAGUAACUGUGCACAUCUUGACGGUACCUAAUCAGAAAGCCACGGCUAACUACGUGCCAGCAGCCGCGGUAAUACGUAGGUGGCAAGCGUUAUCCGGAAUUAUUGGGCGUAAAGCGCGCGUAGGCGGUUUUUUAAGUCUGAUGUGAAAGCCCACGGCUCAACCGUGGAGGGUCAUUGGAAACUGGAAAACUUGAGUGCAGAAGAGGAAAGUGGAAUUCCAUGUGUAGCGGUGAAAUGCGCAGAGAUAUGGAGGAACACCAGUGGCGAAGGCGACUUUCUGGUCUGUAACUGACGCUGAUGUGCGAAAGCGUGGGGAUCAAACAGGAUUAGAUACCCUGGUAGUCCACGCCGUAAACGAUGAGUGCUAAGUGUUAGGGGGGUUCCGCCCCUUAGUGCUGCAGCUAACGCAUUAAGCACUCCGCCUGGGGAGUACGACCGCAAGGUUGAAACUCAAAGGAAUUGACGGGGACCCGCACAAGCGGUGGAGCAUGUGGUUUAAUUCGAAGCAACGCGAAGAACCUUACCAAAUCUUGACAUCCUUUGACAACUCUAGAGAUAGAGCCUUCCCCUUCGGGGGACAAAGUGACAGGUGGUGCAUGGUUGUCGUCAGCUCGUGUCGUGAGAUGUUGGGUUAAGUCCCGCAACGAGCGCAACCCUUAAGCUUAGUUGCCAGCAUUAAGUUGGGCACUCUAAGUUGACUGCCGGUGACAAACCGGAGGAAGGUGGGGAUGACGUCAAAUCAUCAUGCCCCUUAUGAUUU